UACGUAGGGGGCAAGCGUUAUCCGGAUUUACUGGGUGUAAAGGGAGCGUAGACGGCUUUGCAAGCCAGAUGUGAAAGCCCGGGGCUCAACCCCGGGACUGCAUUUGGAACUGUGUGGCUAGAGUGUCGGAGAGGCAGGCGGAAUUCCUAGUGUAGCGGUGAAAUGCAUAGAUAUCACGCAGAACCCCGAUUGCGAAGGCAGCAUGCCGGCUUCCUACUGACGCUGAAGCACGAAAGCGUGGGGAUCGAACAGG
rnacentral:rRNA from 1 species